GAUAAUACUUUUGGUGGGGGCAGCGUCUGAUGUAACCAAUAAAAGAAAAGAGUACAUUUUGUCUCUUUUAAUUUUGCAUGCCAGUGUUGGUUUGGGAUAGAUUCAUUUACCUUGUUGCAUGACGUUAUUAUAUUUUUUUUUGAGAAGAAAUUUACUUCGUGGAAGAUUUAUAGGGAGUUGGGUUCCUUAAUUUUAGGAAGAUAAUUUUGAUAAGAUUUGAGAGUAGUAGGAGAAGAUAUAAAAAAAAAGAUUAUAUUAGGUCAAACCCAAUAGAGAUACAGGGAGAAGUCAUGAGAAUAAACCCUAGCGAUAUCCUUUCAUCUCUAAACAGAGAGUGCUUCUAAAUAGAGAGUGCUUGAGAGAAAAGUUUUAUCCCUUACACCAUUAUGAGCUAGUGAGUGGGAAGUAGAAGACAUCGGGGAAUCAAGGUGUGGUGGAGGCUGCGUCAAGGAAGAGAAGGCUUCUUGGGCAGGUUUAAGACAUUACAGAAUGCUAGGAAUUUUCCAUUGAAAUCCAGGCCGACUUAGGUGUAAAGACAAAGACCCAACUUAUGGCUGAGAAGUCUGUUUUUAAAAUCCUUUUGAUGACUGUCAUUGCUGCCAAUGGUGAGAGAGAUCUCACAGAUCCCACAAGUGAUUUUGUUGUCAAUAAUGUCGACAUUUUGCAGCAAUAUUUUCCCAUUGAUUCUUCAUCUAGCAAUGUAUCAGUAGCAGCACUUGGCGAUUCAUCACUCUCAAAUAACGUUCAUGUUGAUUCUAGGCUAAAAAGCAAUGCUUGUUCAAAUUUGAUGGAUUUGUACUCACCCCCUAAUAUUAUUGGAUGCUUUUGUCGAAGUACUACCAGAUGAAAACAAGCUUCAUGCCAAAGCUUCUCUUGGGGCUUUAAAUGUGUUUGCAGAAACAUUUGUUUUUCUUGCUCUCGUUCAAAACAUACUGACUUCAUAUUGUCCAGAGGGCCAGGUACACCUAUGAUCGUCUCUAGUCCAUCAAUGAAUCCUGUAUACUCUCCACCUCCUAGUGUUCGUCUACUUGUAUUUGAACAACUGUUGCCUCAUCUUCUGCACUGUUGCUAUGGGCUUACAUGGCAAGCUCAAAUGGGUGGCAUCAUGGGACUUGGUGCUUUGGUUGGAAAGGUCACUGUUGAGACUCGUUACCUUUUUCAAGUGCGGAAAGAGUGUGGUUAUUUUGCUGGACAGUUUUUAACACACGAGUUUGACAAAAGAAAAACACAAAGGUUGGAACACUUGCAGGCAGACAUAUGGUUCUGAAAAUGUUGCGGCAGAGUCAAAUUUGUCUAAUAGCCAUCAUGACUCUGAUUCUACUCUGUUGGGAGGUGUGCCUUCAAGUAUAUCUGAGAUGGAUUUUAAGACGUCUGACUCGUCAAAGGUGGGGGAUUUGGUGAAAAUCAACCUACAUCUCAUGAUAAUCCCCAGAGUGAGCGUUCCUUUAUUCAGGAGAAGCAUACUAAUCCUCGUCGGAGUAUAGGUGAUGCACUUGAAUAUCAGAAAGAAAGAAUUAAUGUAUCUGGUGACGCUCAGGAAGAUAACAGUGAGAAACAGGAUCAGAUGGAAGAUGACAAUGCUGAUGAGUAUGGCUAUAUUGCUGAAUUUGAAAAGGAAACAACUCAGGCUUUGGGACCUGCAACACUAGAGAAGAUUCAAAGUUACAGUUUGAAAAAGAAAAAUCAGAAAUGAUUUUGGUAAAUAAUUCAUCAUCAGUUACCAAAAACGAAAAAAGGGAGCAAGUGAAUCCGUCAGUCACGGAAACAUUGCGGGAUGAUGUAUCAACACAUUCUCUUGCUAGUACAAAUAUUGAUCUUGAGAAUCGUUUGGAAGAUUUGGUUUCUUUCAGAAGUUCAUUCAUGAGAGAUAGGUCAGAUCUAAGCCAGCUUUCUCUGCACGACAAAGACUUGGGUAAAGGCCAAGAACCUUUUUAUGUACCUGAUCAUGUGAAAGAUAGUGCUGCUGCUCUCUGGAGUAGAUUCAAACUUAGCACAACAAAAUUGUCUAUUGAGUUGGCUGAGCAACUGCACCUUGUAAUGGAGCCCACUCUGGCCAGCAAACUCCAAGGGGACUAUAGAACUGGAAAAAGAAUAAAUAUGAAAAAGGUAGAUAAUUUAUUCUUAUUCAUAGAAAUUUUAAACGUUUAUGGACAGUAUAUUUGUCUUUAACUUACCAUCUUAAAAAAAUCCAAGUAAUUCCUUACAUAGCAAGUGAUUAUAGUAAAGAUUGAAUAUGGCUGAGGCGGACCAAACCCAACAAACGUGAUUACCAAGUUGUUAUAGCUGUUGACGAUUCACAUAGUAUGUCAGAGAAUGGUUGUGGUGAUGUUGCCAUUGAAGCUUUGGUUACUGUAUGUCGUGCUAUUUCUCAAUUGGAAAUGGGAAGCUUGGUUGUUGCUAGUUUUGGAACAAAAGGAAACAUAAAGUUAUUGCACGACUUUGAGAGGCUGGUGUUAAGCAGAGGCCAAGAGCUUUGUGCAGCUUAAGUGGAACUAUUUCUUCUGAUACAAAAGCAGUUUUGUUGGAGGUAGGAGCUGCUGACAACACGGUUAAGAGAGCUUGGAACAUUAAGAAUCAGCAAUAGAAGUGUGAGGAGCUCUGGCUGCUGUUGCAAGAUGUCUUGAAAGUGCAGAAGCAGAAGCCAGUACUGGAGGAAAAGCUAUUGUUGCUGAAAGAGAGAGCUGAGAAAGAGCAAUUCAAUACAACCUUGGAAACAAUGCAUACCUAGGCAGAGCAUGGAGAAAAAUAGAUAAGCACAUUCUUUUCUUUUCCUUUUAAUUGUAGUUAUAGAUUAUUAUUAGUGAUGUACAUAACUUUAACUAGCAUAGUAAAUAGUAGGAUAGAUAAUAUGUUUUUUUUUUUCAUAAAAAUAAAAAGAAUUAAUUUUGAUCUAUGGCCAAUUUAAUCUGAUUUUGCUUUAUUUUAUCUUGUAUCUAUUUAUUUAUGCAUUUACUAACUGUAUGAAAUUCUCCCAGGUGAUUAAUGAUUGUAUUGGUUUUGCGGAGCCAUUGCUUCUCAAUAAGCUGAUCGAGUUUCUUCAACAAGCUUGAAGUUUUGUUUGUGAUAAAUGGAAAAGCACAACAUCCUUGACUUAGUGAUACAGUACGUUUUUGUGGCCGUUGCAGUUGCUGGAUUUCGUGGAGGGUUCUCAUGUGGGUGGGUGACAAGCAGUGAGGUUCCCUGCGAUACAAUUUUUGUAAUUCAGUCCUUUAAUUUCAAUACAUUUUUGUUUUGUUAUCUUUUCUUUGCAAAAUUUUAUGUUUUUUGCUAUUUUAAUUUUGAUUCUUGCA